CAGUCGCCGCGGUAAUACAGAGGGUGCGAGCGUUAAUCGGAUUUACUGGGCGUAAAGCGUGCGUAGGCGGCUUUUUAAGUCGGAUGUGAAAUCCCUUAGCUUAACUUAGGAAUUGCAUUCGAUACUGGGAAGCUAGAGUAUGGGAGAGGAUGGUAGAAUUCCAGGUGUAGCGGUGAAAUGCGUAGAGAUCUGGAGGAAUACCGAUGGCGAAGGCAGCCAUCUGGCCUAAUACUGACGCUGAGGUACGAAAGCAUGGGGAGCAAACAGGAUUAGAUACCCCCGUAGUCCCUGUCUCUUAUAC
rnacentral:rRNA from 1 species